AGAAUUUUGUUGACCUCCUACAUGCUUGCCUUAUGCUCUUGUUUCUCAUCUUAUUUAUUGAUGCAGCAAGUUUUUUUUCUCUGUUUGUUUUUGAGAAUAGAAUCUGUAUGUUUUUGUAGCCCUGCACACCAAUCUCACAUUUUAUAAUGGGUUCUGCAUUGAGCAGUUGUUAGCUGUAGAUGCUGUUUUUUGUUUGUCAAGUUACAAUAUUUUUUUCUUCAGUUUCCUUCUAGUGUCCAGAGUGAUUAAAAAGAAAACGUAUUGCUCUUUAGUUGGCAUCCUGCCUUUACUGAUGAGAUGUUAGCAGUUCCCAAGAAGAAGAAAAUCCAUAUGCCAAAGGAAGCUGUGGGCUCAAUUUCUAUGGAAGAAGAGUGUUGGAUGAAGCAUGGAAACAGGAAAAUUACUUCAACACUUUGAAUGCUUCAGACACUGGAAUAUUUUGGGCUAUCAAAACAGAAUACAACAGUCAUGAUCAGAAGCAUUUUUCUUUAGCAUGAAAGAAACACAGAACAAGCAAUGGAUGUUCGUGGAAAAUUCCAGACACCAACUAGAUCUGGAUACAAUUGAUAAAGAGGACAAAGAACUAAUGGCAUGGAUUUAAUGGAUCAAGUUUCUCUUCUGCAGUUCAUCUCUUCGUUAAUGGCCCAUGAAAAGUGAAGACAAGAGAUUUGGACCAAAGAGCUGCCAGAGACUAAACCAAGCAUUACCUCUUGAAGGAUUGUAUCAUUGAUGCUUUAAAUUAAAACUUUAUUGCCAUUGUAAAAUGUCUGUGAGUUACCCAGAAAAAAUAAAAUAUAUGAUUU
rnacentral:lncRNA from 7 species